ACGGGCAGAACGCCGAGUCCUGCCACUGCCCGAGAGUUCUUUCGCACCACCGCCGGCAGGAGCGGGGGAACCACUUCGGGUCCUGGUCUCAGGAUCCUUGGGGUGAAGCCGAUCGGUUCGCCGAUCGGCCGGGCACAACCUCAGCCCGAACCCGACAGCUCACCUCGAAGGCGUCGAGAGGUUCA
rfam:Tetrasphaera elongata Lp2 genomic scaffold, 2093_scaffold1